rnacentral:rRNA from 1 species
UACGGAGACUGCAAGCGUUAUUCGGAUUCACUGGGCGUAAAGGGUGCGCAGGCGGCCAAGUGUGUUAGGCGUGAAAGCCCGGAGCUCAACUCCGGAAUUGCACCUAAAACUACAUGGCUAGAGCAUUGGAGAGGGAAGCGGAAUUCACGGUGUAGCAGUGAAAUGCGUAGAUAUCGUGAGGAACACCAGAGGCGAAGGCGGCUUCCUGGACAAUUGCUGACGCUCAGGCACGAAAGCGUGGGGAGCAAAAGGG